GCAUCGAUAUUUUUCCGAUUUUCCUACAGCAAAGACAGCAGAGGCAUGAAAAUCGACAGCCAGAAAGUUUUUUCUCUGCAAACGGUUGACUGGAAAAAUCGAAGGAGCAAAAUCAUAGCGCACGCAGAUUUCUGAAGAAAAAAAUAUUAAUUGCAAUUGCAUUUGGAGAGAAAAAAUAAAUUCCAAACUAAAAAAAAUUACGUGAGUUCUGCGCGAAGAAUUUUCGGUGGAAAUAAAAACCCAAUUGUCCCGCUGUACAAAAGCCGAAACCAGUUGGUUGGUGAAGAUAAAAAACGGUUAAAACCAUCAGAAAUACAUAUAAACCACAAAGCAAAGAGCAUACAAAACUGUAAUUGACAAAACGGAACUAACAGUAAUAGUAGUUUUCAAUCAGUAAAUCAUACACGCUCCAGAUCGUUUGCAGCUCUAACCUAAAAAAAAAACACAACAAAUACAAGUUCCAACGUUAGUUCCCCAACUUCGCUAAGACAGCACCAACAAAGCGCACAGCAAAUUAAAAAGCGUCAGCAUCAUGACUAUGGCUGGGCAGACCAUCAACGAUCGGCUAUUGGCGGCGCGGCAUAGCUUGGCCGGUCAAGGCCUGGCUAAGUCGGUGUGCAAGGCCACCACAGAGGAGUGCAUCGGACC